GCGCCCGUAGCUCAGUUGGAUAGAGCGACGGUUUCCGGAGCCGUAGGUCGCAGGUUCGAAUCCUGCCGGGCGUGCCA
rnacentral:tRNA from 1 species